rnacentral:rRNA from 1 species
UACAGAGACUGCAAGCGUUAUUCGGAUUCACUGGGCGUAAAGGGUGCGCAGGCGGCCGUGUGUGUCAGGUGUGAAAGCCCGAGGCUUAACCUCGGAAUUGCGCCUGAAACUACAUGGCUAGAGUACUGGAGAGGGUAGCGGAAUUCUCGGUGUAGCGGUGAAAUGCGUAGAUAUCGAGAGGAACACCUGCGGCGAAGGCGGGUUGCUGGGCUGAUACUGACGCUGAGGCGCGAAAGCCAGGGGAGCGAACGGG